rnacentral:rRNA from 1 species
CCAGCGAUGGGGAGCGAAACCCAAAAAGCAGUCACAGUUCGGAUUGAAGGCUGAAAUUCGCCUUCAUGAAGCCGGAAUUGCUAGUAAUGGCAGGUCAGCAUACUGCCGUGAAUACGUUCCCGGGCCUUGUACACACCGCCCGUCACACCAUGAGAGUUGGGGAUACCCGAAGCCUGUGAGCUAACUAUUUAUAGGAGCAGCAGUCAAAGGUAGAAUCAAUGAUUGGGGUGAAGUCGUAACAAGGUAAC